rnacentral:snRNA from 1 species
AUACUCUAGUUUCUCUUCAGAUCGUAUAAAUCUUACACCUUUUACUAAAGAUUUCCGUGGAAAGGAACAUUUAUGAGUUUCUACUCAAUUUUUUGAGGCUUCAUUUUGGUGAAGCU